UCAGGCCUAACACAUGCAAGUCGAGCGGGGUUUUCGGACCUAGCGGCGGAUGGGUGAGUAAUGCGUAGGAAGCUACCCGAUAGAGGGGGAUACCAGUUGGAAACGACUGUUAAUACCGCAUAAUGUCUACGGACCAAAGUGUGGGACCUUCGGGCCACAUGCUAUCGGAUGUGCCUACGUGGGAUUAGCUAGUUGGUGAGGUAAUGGCUCACCAAGGCGACGAUCCCUAGCUGGUUUGAGAGGAUGAUCAGCCACACUGGAACUGAGACACGGUCCAGACUCCUACGGGAGGCAGCAGUGGGGAAUAUUGGACAAUGGGCGCAAGCCUGAUCCAGAGGUGCCGCGUGUGUGAAGAAGGCCUUCGGGUU
rnacentral:rRNA from 1 species